rfam:Cyberlindnera jadinii strain CBS1600 genome assembly, contig: CJ1
GUUACAGUGGCCGAGUGGUUAAGGCGAUGCCCUGCUAUCUUCUAAGAAGCUGUUAGGCAUUGGGUUCUGCCUGCGCAGGUUCGAAUCCUGUCUGUGACG